rnacentral:rRNA from 1 species
GACGAACGCUGGCGGCGUGCUUAACACAUGCAAGUCGAACGGAAAGGCCCUGCUUGCAGGGUACUCGAGUGGCGAACGGGUGAGUAACACGUGUGUGAUCUGCCCUGCACUUCUGGAUAAGCUUGGGAAACUGGGUCUCAUACCGGAUAUGAGCCAUCUUUAGUCUGGUUGUUGGAAAGUUUUUUCGGUGUAGGAUGAGCUCGCGGCCUAUCAGCUUGUUGGUGGGGUAAUGGGCUACCAAGGGGGCGACGGGUAGCCGGCCUGAGAGGGUGUACGGCCACAUUGGGACUGAGAGACGGCCCAGACUCCUACGGGAGGCAGAAGUGGGGAAUAUUGCACAAUGGGCGCAAGCCUGAGGCAGCGACGCCGCGUGGGGGAUGAAGGCCUUCGGGUUGUAAACUCCUUUCGCUAGGGACGAAGCUUUUUUGUGACGGUACCUAGAUAAGAAGCACCGGCUAACUACGUG